UACGUAGGGUGCAAGCGUGUCCGGAAUUAUUGGGCGUAAAGAGCUCGUAGGCGGUUUGUCGCGUCGAAUGUGAAAACCCGGGGCUCAACCCCGGGCCUGCAUUCGAUACGGGCAGACUAGAGUUCGGUAGGGGAGACUGGAAUUCCUGGUGUAGCGGUGGAAUGCGCAGAUAUCAGGAGGAACACCGAUGGCGAAGGCAGGUCUCUGGGCCAUUACUGACACUGGAGAAGCGAAAGCAUGGGGAGCGAACAGG
rnacentral:rRNA from 1 species